rnacentral:lncRNA from 1 species
CCUUAAAUUAUGCUCAACCUCUUCAAAACAUAUAUUUAAACAAUAGAAAUAAACUUCCCUGGAGUCUGGCGACCAAUUUGGAAGCCAUUGGAAAGGAAGACAAUAAGUCCUGAUUACAUGCAAGGAUUCUCUGUGAUGUGAUAUCCCCUUUGCCAAGUCAUUUCGCUGUUUUUUUAUUUAAUUUCUUUCUUUUUUUUUUUAACAAACUUUCAUUCAUUUAUGGUCUUCCGCAACCUGCUAAUUUAACACUGGAGCGCGUUAUUGCAGUGUUAGGAGGAGAGAAAGAGGGAGAGAAAACAACAAUACUGCAAUGAUCCAAAUGAUACAGUAGAAUUAUAGCAAUUAUAGUUCUACUUGUGGAAGAAAACCUUGCUGAGAUCAGGCAAACAAACUGAAGCCUUGUGAGGAUAACAAGCCUUGGGAUUGACAGCCGGUGCUGGGAAGAGCCAGAGGGCACAAACAGAAAUAUUUGCCUCCCCCACCCCCCUUAACUCCAACCAGUCAAGGUUACCCUCCUCAAAUGUUGCUUUCAGAGUCUUAUCCACUUCAGGAUAUUCAGUUUAUGCAUACAUCGAGAUCUCUCCUCCUGGAAGUCUGGUAAUAGGAGGAAAGCAGCACCCUGAGGAAAGGCACUGUGCAAAGGGAUUGGUAAGUUGGAUUUCCCGGCAAGAUUCCCUCGUGUUUGCCAAUGUUUUCCUCUUCGGCGUGUCCUCCGCCUGA